GAUACAUAUGAAGGAGAGGAUUAAAACAGGUCCGUUAUGCCCUAAGAUUAUCUGGGUUGCACGCGCAAUACCAUAAUAUUUGAUAUUAUAAGGGAUAAUAUAAUGUAAGAUAUAUUUGAACAUGGAAUUGCUAGUAAAUUUUAUUUAAUAAGUAGAAUUGAAUGAGUCCCUGUUCUUUGUACACACCGCCCGUCGCUAUCUAAGAUGGUAUUAUCUAUGAACCAAUUUAUAAAGUGAAUAGAUAGUACUAGAUCUGAUAUAAGUCGUAACAUGGUUGCUGUUGGAGAACCAUUAGCAGGAUCAUAA
rnacentral:ncRNA from 1 species